rnacentral:rRNA from 1 species
CUGCUGCCUCCCGUAGGAGUCUGGGCCGUGUCUCAGUCCCAAUGUGGCCGUUCAACCUCUCAGUCCGGCUACCGAUCGUCAGCUUGGUGGGCUAUUAUCUCACCAACUACCUAAUCGGGCGCGAGCCCAUCUUUCAGCGAUAAAUCUUUGAUUGGGUCAUGAUGCCAUAUCCCAAUGUUAUGCGGUAUUAGCGUUCGUUUCCAAACGUUAUUCCCCUCUGAAAGGCAGGUUGCUCACGUGUUACUCACCCG